ACGGUUCAGAAUAGCUAUGUCACAGGCCAGGAACAUUCCACUUGCCUGCCUAGUGCUCAGAGCAGUGGGGGGUCGGGGUGGCAGGUGGUGGGUGACAAAGGCCUGUGGCAGUCUUGCCCUAGUCUGUGGAAUGAGGGUAGGUGGGAGUCCAGCAGUGGUGGAGAUGGUACCAAAGAAGGGCCAGGGCUGGUAGGUGCUGUGCCUUCAGCUGCUGUGGUAGAUCCGGAGGCGCUGGGAGAUCUGGCGGCACAGCGGGCAGGUGCGCAGAGGCUGGCAGCACUGCUGACAGCAGCAGACAUGGCCACAGGAGGCCAAGAGACACAAGAAGAGGAAGAGAUUUUCAUGGUGCUUCAGAAGGAGAAGAGGUGACCAGCCAUGUGAUAUCUCAGGUCAUGCCACUGCUGCUGCUAUCCUGACAUUACCACACUGGAAUGCUAUUAUAUUCAUGAAGAGUUUGCAAGUGGAUUUAGGGGCUGCUGCUGAACUGAACUGCUGUAAACUGAGCUGCUGAUUUCCUGACCUCGCAGAUGGGAUUUGCUCCAAAGAGUCA